rnacentral:pre_miRNA from 1 species
AUCACCUAGGGAUUUUGUUAAAAUGCAGAUUUUGAUUCAGUAAGUCUGAAGUGGAACCUGAGUUUCUGCAUUCUAACAAUCUUCCAGGUGAUGGUAA